rnacentral:tRNA from 3 species
GCGGGAGUAGCUCAGUUGGUAGAGCACAACCUUGCCAAGGUUGGGGUCGCGAGUUCGAGUCUCGUCUCCCGCU